rnacentral:rRNA from 1 species
UACGUAGGUGGCGAGCGUUAUCCGGAAUUACUGGGUGUAAAGGGUGUGUAGGCGGGAAUGCAAGUCAGACGUGAAAUCUACGGGCUCAACCUGUAAAUUGCGUUUGAAACUGUAUUUCUUGAGUAUGGGAGAGGUAAACGGAAUUCCUGGUGUAGUAGUGAAAUGCGUAGAUAUCAGGAGGAACACCGGUGGCGAAGGCGGUUUACUGGACCAUAACUGACGCUGAGACACGAAAGCGUGGGGAGCAAACA